rnacentral:rRNA from 1 species
AUUGAACGCUGGCGGCAGGCCUAACACAUGCAAGUCGAGCGAGCGGCGGACGGGUGAGUAAUGUAUGGGGAUCUGCCCGAUAGAGGGGGAUAACUACUGGAAACGGUGGCUAAUACCGCAUACUAUCGGAUGUGCCCAGCUGGGAUUAGCUAGUAGGUUGGGUAAAGGCUCACCUAGGCGACGAUCCCUAGCUGGUCUGAGAGGAGGACCAGCCACACGGGACAUGAGACACGGCCCAAACGCAUACGGGAGGGAGCAGGGGGGAAGAUUGCAACAUGGGCGCAAGCCUGCUGCAGCCAGGCCGCGGGUAUGAAGAAGGCCUUAGGGUUGUAAAGUACUUUCAGCGGGGAGGCGUUACCCGCAGAAGAAGCACCGGCUAACUCCGUGCCAGCAGCCGCGGUAAUUC